AGGAUGGACGACACUGCACAUAUUAUAGAUGGUCUCCUUCAAAAAAUCUACCCGAUACCCUCGAAAUGGAUGGAGUGACGAUAUCUGAAGUUGCCUGGUUAGAAGAGUCUCAGCCUCCAGAUGACUUCGUGGUUAGGAGAGGGCAAUACAAGGGCCGUGUUAUCAAAACUUGAGAUGAUUUUUGGUGCUAUUCGUAUGCAUUGAUGCCUUCAUUGGGGAGUUUGUUUAGUUUAAUUAAAGUUUCUACUUAUGUGACAAUAAUUUUUGCUAACUGCAGAAAUUAGACUUUGAGAUGUAUAUAUUGAUGCAUUAGAUAUUAUUUUCGCGUUUUCAACCUAAAAUGGUAAAAACUUGAGCUGAAAUAUGGACGUGGUGAUGCCUUUAUAUGGUUUGUUACUUGUA